GAACUGAAGAGUUUGAUCAUGGCUCAGAUUGAACGCUGGCGGCAGGCCUAACACAUGCAAGUCGAGCGGAUGAAGGGAGCUUGCUCCUGGAUUCAGCGGCGGACGGGUGAGUAAUGCCUAGGAAUCUGCCUGGUAGUGGGGGAUAACGUCCGGAAACGGGCGCUAAUACCGCAUACGUCCUGAGGGAGAAAGUGGGGGAUC
rnacentral:rRNA from 1 species